GGGGGUGUAGCACAAGUGGUAGUGCAGCGGUCUCCAAAACCGAAGGUUGGGAGUUCGAAACUUCCCACCCCCGCCA
rnacentral:tRNA from 1 species